CCUACGGGUGGCAGCAGUCGAGAAUCAUUCACAAUGGGGGAAACCCUGAUGGUGCGACGCCGCGUGGGGGAAUGAAGGUCUUCGGAUUGUAAACCCCUGUCAUGUGGGAGCAAACUAAAAAGAUAGUACCACAAGAGGAAGAGACGGCUAACUCUGUGCCAGCAGCCGCGGUCAUACAGAGGUCUCAAGCGUGGUUCGGAAUCACUGGGCGUAAAGCGUGCGUAGGCUGUUUCGUAAGUCGUGUGUGAAAGGCGCGGGCUCAACCCGCGGACGGCACAUGUUACUGCGAGACUAGAGUAAUGGAGGGGGAACCGGAAUUCUCGGUGUAGCAGUGAAAUGCGUAGAUAUCGAGAGGAACACUCGUGGCGAAGGCGGGUUCCUGGACAUUAACUGACGCUGAGGCACGAAGGCCAGGGGAGCGAAAGGGAUUAGAUACCCUGGUAGUC
rnacentral:rRNA from 1 species